GCACUCUAAUUUUUUCAAAGUAAAAGUCCUGUUUCCCCGCCACACCCAGUGAAGGGCAUGAGGUUCCACAGAGGGAAAGGCCCGGCCGGACCAGUACACGCGGUGAGGCGGACCGGCCAGCCAGGCCCAAGGUUCAACUACGAGCUUUUUAACCACAACAACUUUAAUAUACGCUAUUGGAGCUGGAAUUACCGCGGCUGCUGGCACCAGACUUGCCCUCCAAUUGUUCCUCGUUAAGGGAUUUAAAUUGUACUCAUUCCAAUUACAAGACCCAAAAGAGCCCUGUAUCAGUAUUUAUUGUCACUACCUCCCCGAAUCGGGAUUGGGUAAUUUGCGCGCCUGCUGCCUUCCUUGGAUGUAGUAGCCGUUUCUCAGGCUCCUUCUCCGGGGUCGAGCCCUAACCCUCCGUUACCCGUUGCGACCAUGUUUGGCCAAUACCCAAACAUCGAAAGUUGAUAGGGAAGAAAUUUGAAUGAACCAUCGCCGGCGCAAGGCCGUGCGAUUCGAAAAGUUAUCAUGAAUCACCAAGGAGCCCAGAGGGCAUUGGUUUUUAAUCUAAUAAAUACAUCCCUUCCAAAGUCGGGAUUUUUAGCAUGUAUUAGCUC
rnacentral:rRNA from 1 species